UGUAGCAGACACAGUCCUAUCGUUAUGUUAUGAUAUCCAGAAAUUUAUGCAACUCUGGUCUUGCUGAUGAUAUCAAGAACAUAUUCCAAAUGUGCUGGAUUGUAAGGAUUUAAGUAUACAAUGUCAAGAAAGCGACAUACUGAGGUGUCUUGGGAUAGUGACGAUGACCUACUU